rnacentral:rRNA from 1 species
UACGUAGGGCGCGAGCGUUGUCCGGAAUUAUUGGGCGUAAAGAGCUCGUAGGUGGUUUGUUGCGUCUGUUGUGAAAGCCCGGGGCUUAACUCCGGGUUUGCAGUGGAUACGGGCAGGCUAGAGGCAGGUAGGGGAGAACGGAAUUCCCGGUGUAGCGGUGAAAUGCGCAGAUAUCGGGAGGAACACCGGUGGCGAAGGCGGUUCUCUGGGCCUGUACUGACGCUGAGGAGCGAAAGCGUGGGGAGCGAACAGG